UCCCUGGUGGUUCAGUGGUAAAGAAUCCACCUGCCAAAGCAGGAGGUUCAGGUUUGAUUCCUGAUCAGGGAA
rnacentral:tRNA from 1 species